GAUAGUUCCUUGAACCGCCUGGUUCCAGGAUGAAAGACGGUUUCGGCUGUCACUUACAGAUGGACCCGCGGCGCAUUAGCUAGUUGGUGGGGUAAUGGCUCACCAAGGCGACGAUGCGUAGCCGACCUGAGAGGGUGAUCGGCCACACUGGGACUGAGGCCCGGCCCAGACUCCUACGGGAGGCAGCAGUAGGGAAUCUUUCGCAAUGGACGAAAGUCUGACGGAGCAACGCCGCGUGAGUGAUGAAGGUUUUCGGAUCGUAAAGCUCUGUUGUUAGGGAAGAACAAGUGCGAGAGUAACUGCUCGCCCCUUGACGGUACCUAACCCGAAAGCCCCGGCUAACUACGUGCCAGCAGCCGCGGUAAUACGUAGGUGGCAAGCGUUGUCCGGAAUUAUUGGGCGUAAAGGGCUCGCAGGCGGUUUUUUAAGUUUGAUGUGAAAGCCCCCGGCUCAACCGGGGAGGGUCAUUGGAAACUGGGAAACUUGAGUGCAGAAGAGGAGAGUGGAAUUCCACGUGUAGCGGUGAAAUGCGUAGAGAUGUGGAGGAACCCCAGUGGCGAAGGCGACUCUCUGGUCUGUAACUGACGCUGAGGAGCGAAAGCGUGGGGAGCGAACAGGAUUAGAUACCCUGGUAGUCCACGCCGUAAACGAUGAAUGCUAAGUGUUAGGGGGUUUCCGCCCCUUAGUGCUGCAGCUAACGCAUUAAGCAUUCCGCCUGGAUACGCC
rnacentral:rRNA from 1 species